CAGUAGCCGCGGGAAUACAGAGGGUGCUAGCGUUAAUCGGAUUUACUGGGCGUAAAGCGUGCGUAGGCGGUUCGUUAAGUCGGUUGUGAAAGCCCUGGGCUCAACCUGGGAAUUGCAGUCGAUACUGGCGAGCUAGAGUAUGGCAGAGGGGGGUAGAAUUCCACGUGUAGCAGUGAAAUGCGUAGAGAUGUGGAGGAAUACCGAUGGCGAAGGCAGCCCCCUGGGCCAAUACUGACGCUCAUGCACGAAAGCGUGGGGAGCAAACAGGAUUAGAUACCCCGGUAGUCCCUGUCUCUUAUAC
rnacentral:rRNA from 1 species